rnacentral:rRNA from 1 species
AGGACAUUACAGUGUUUUGCGGCGCGCGUAGGCUGCUAACCCGGCACACCGCGCCGCUAAAACCCCACCCUUGACUACUGUACCGUCUGUUGCUUCGGCGGGCCCGCCCUCGGGCCGCCGGGGGAUCCCUCCCCUGGCCCGCGCCCGCCGGAGACAAAUCUGAACCCUAUUGUGAAUAUUGGCUGUCUGAGUAAGAUUUUAAAUCAUUUAAAACUUUCAACAAUGGAUCUCUUGGUUCCGGCAUCGAUGAAGAACGCAGCGAAAUGCGAUAAGUAAUGUGAAUUGCAGAAUUCCGUGAAUCAUCGAAUCUUUGAACGCACAUUGCGCCCCCUGGUAUUCCGGGGGGCAUGCCUGUCCGAGCGUCAUUGCAACCUUCAAGCGCGGCUUGUGUAUUGGGCCUCGUCCCCCGUGGACGGGCCUGAAAGGCAGUGGCGGUACCGAUUUCGGUGCCUGAGCGUAUGGGGAUCAUCUCCGCUCUUUAGGCCCGGUCGGCGCCCGUCGUCACCAAAUUUUUUACCGGUUGACCUCGGAUCAAGUAGGGAUACCCGCUGAA